UCGUAUGUUUCAGGCAACAGCUUUAUUUCCGAAAGCAAUGUUAUAGAUCAUAUUUGUUUCACUAAAUGUGGUUUUCUGAAAGUUUUACAAAUUUUUUUAAUAAACACGUGUUUCUUGCUCUGAAAUACCAUAUUCAAUCUUUUGAAGAUGAAGAAUUAUCUUAUCAUGUGUAUUUUCGUCUUGUGCACAGUUGGGACAUUAUAUGCCUUCACCUGUGACAGUUGCAGACAGGACAUCGCCUCGUGUAUCGAAGUAUGUGGUCAGUUGACAUCAAAAGAGAAGUGCUAUUGUCAGAAAGCAUGUUAUAAAUCUGCACUUAUUUGUCUCAACUCUUGUGUUGACCUGUCAGGAUGGGAAGACAUUUGGUUGCUUUUGGCUGAUGAUUAGAAAAAAGUUUAUUUACUACGAGAAGCCGACAUCCAUAAUGUAAAUAAAGAUUAUAAUAAUCA